AGUAAAGUCAGCUAACAAAGCUUUUGGGCCCAUACCCCAACCAUGUUGGUUAAAAUCCUUCCUUUACUA
rnacentral:tRNA from 6 species